rnacentral:rRNA from 1 species
UACGUAGGGUCCGAGCGUUGUCCGGAAUUAUUGGGCGUAAAGAGCUCGUAGGCGGUUUGUCGCGUCUGCUGUGAAAUCCCGAGGCUCAACCUCGGGUCUGCAGUGGGUACGGGCAGACUGGAGUGCGGUAGGGGAGAAUGGAAUUCCUGGUGUAGCGGUGGAAUGCGCAGAUAUCAGGAGGAACACCGAUGGCGAAGGCAGGUCACUGGGCCGCAACUGACGCUGAGGAGCGAAAGCAUGGGGAGCGAACAGG